UACGGAGGGUGCAAGCGUUAUCCGGAUUCACUGGGUUUAAAGGGUGCGUAGGUGGGUUGGUAAGUCCGUGGUGAAAUCUCCGAGCUUAACUCGGAAACUGCCGUGGAUACUAUCAAUCUUGAAUACUGUGGAGGUAAGCGGAAUAUGUCAUGUAGCGGUGAAAUGCUUAGAUAUGACAUAGAACACCAAUUGCGAAGGCAGCUGGCUACGCAUAUAUUGACACUGAGGCACGAAAGCGUGGGGAUCAAACAGG
rnacentral:rRNA from 1 species